rnacentral:tRNA from 1 species
GGAGUUGUGGCUCAGUGGUAGAGAGCUUGCCUAGAACACAUUAGGCACUGGGUUUGAUCCCCAACACCUCUU